rnacentral:rRNA from 1 species
GAAGUAACGAAGAAGUAGAUUCCACACUGCCAAGAAAAGGCACUAUCGAGCAAAAAGAUACCCGUACCGCAAACCGACACAGGUAGGCGAGGAGAGAAUCCUAAGACGCGCGGAAGAACCUUUGUUAAGGAACUCGGCAAAAUGACCCCGUAACUUCGGGAGAAGGGGUACCAUGAGACGUAUAUGACAAGCGCAGAAAGCGUAGCAUGGUCGCAGAGAAUAGGCCCAAGCGACUGUUUACCAAGAACACAAGUAUCUGCUAAAUCGAAAGAUGAAGUAUAGGUGCUGACACCUGCCCGGUGCUGGAAGGUUAAGGGGAAAUGUUAGGGAAACCGAAGCAUAGAACUUAAGCCCCAGUAAACGGCGGCCGUAACAAUAACGGUCCUAAGGUAGCGAAAUUCCUUGUCGGGUAAGUUCCGACCCGCACGAAAGGUGUAACGAUUUGGGCACUGUCUCAACAAAGGAUCCGGUGAAAUUGUAGUACUCGUGAAGAUGCGAGUUACCCACGGUAGGACGGAAAGACCCCGUGGAGCUUUACUGCAGGCUGACAUUGGAUUUUGGUAUUAAAUGUACAGAAUAGGUGGGAGACUAAGAAUAUAGGGCGCCAGUCUUAUAGGAGUCACCUUUGGGAUACCACCCUUUUAAUGCUAAAGUUCUAACCUGGUACCUUGAAACAGGUACAGGGACACUGUCAGUUGGGCAGUUUGACUGGGGCGGUCGCCUCCUAAAGAGUAACGGAGGCGUUCAAAGGUUCCCUCAGAAUGGUUGGAAAUCAUUCAAAGAGUGCAAAGGCAAAGGGAGCUUAACUGCGACACCAACAAGUGGAGCAGAUAGGAAACUAGGACUUAGUGAUCCGGUGGUACCGCGUGGAAGGGCCAUCGCUCAACGGAUAAAAGCUACCCCGGGGAUAACAGGCUUAUCUCCCCCAAGAGUUCACAUCGACGGGGAGGUUUGGCACCUCGAUGUCGGCUCGUCUCAUCCUGGGGCUGGAGAAGGUCCCAAGGGUUGGGCUGUUCGCCCAUUAAAGAGGCACGCGAGCUGGGUUCAGAACGUCGUGAGACAGUUCGGUCCCUAUCCACCGUGGGCGUAAGAAAUUUGAGAGGAGCUGUCCCUAGUACGAGAGGACCGGGAUGGACAGACCGCUGGUGCAUCAGUUGUUCCGCCAGGAGCACAGCUGAGUAGCUAAGUCUGGAAGGGAUAAGUGCUGAAGGCAUCUAAGCACGAAGCCUCCCUCAAGAUGAGAUUUCUUUGUCGCAAGAUGAGAGAUACCAUGAAGAAAAUGUGGUUGAUAGGUCAGAGGUGUAAGAGCAGCAAUGUUUUAAGCUAACUGAUACUAAUAUAUCGAAAGCUC